CCUACGGGAGGCACCAGUGGGGGAUACUGGACAAUGGGCGAAAGCCUGAUCCAGCAAUGCCGCGUGUGUGAAGAAGGUCUUCGGAUUGUAAAGCACUUUCGACGGGGACGAUGAUGACGGUACCCGUAGAAGAAGCACCGGCUAACUCCGUGCCAGCAGCCGCGGUAAUACGGAGGGUGCUAGCGUUGCUCGGAAUGACUGGCGUAAAGGGCGCGUAGGCGGUUUAUGCAGUCAGAUGUGAAAUCCCCGGGCUUAACCUGGGAACUGCAUUUGAGACGCAUAGACUAGAGGUCGAGAGAGGGUUGUGGAAUUCCCAGUGUAGAGGUGAAAUUCGUAGAUAUUGGGAAGAACACCGGUGGCGAAGGCGGCAACCUGGCUCGAUACUGACGCUGAGGCGCGAAAGCGUGGGGAGCAAACAGGAUUAGAUACCCUCGUAGUC
rnacentral:rRNA from 1 species